rnacentral:rRNA from 1 species
AUCCAGAGAAUUUAGCAGAGAUGCUUUAGUGCCUUCGGGAACUCUGAGACAGGUGCUGCAUGGCUGUCGUCAGCUCGUGUUGUGAAAUGUUGGGUUAAGUCCGCAACGAGCGCAACCCUUUAUCCUUUGUUGCCAGCACGUAAUGGUGGGAACUCAAAGGAGACUGCCGGUGAUAAACCGGAGGAAGGUGGGGAUGACGUCAAGUCAUCAUGGCCCUUACGAGUAGGGCUACACACGUGCUACAAUGGCGUAUACAAAGAGAAGCGACCUCGCGAGAGCAAGCGGACCUCAUAAAGUGCGUCGUAGUCCGGAUUGGAGUCUGCAACUCGACUCCAUGAAGUCGGAAUCGCUAGUAAUCGUAAAUCAGAAUGUUACGGUGAAUACGUUCCCGGGCCUUGUACACACCGCCCGUCACACCAUGGGAGUGGGUUGCAAAAGAAGUAGAUAGCUUAACCUUCGGGAGGGCGUUUACCACUUUGUGAUUCAUGACUGGGGUGAAGUCGUAACAAGGUAAGCGUAGUGCU